GCUCGCGUGGGCAAAUUGGCAAAGCCGACUGACUCAAAAUCAGUAGUUUUGUGGGUUCAAAUCCCACCGUGAGUACCA
rnacentral:tRNA from 1 species